rnacentral:lncRNA from 1 species
CUCUCCCCCUGGCGCAUAGUGCUUGUGGAAUAACUCGAUAAUUGAACAAUUGAUACGCAUUAUUAUCAUGUGUUUUCUUCUGUUUACCUCUACGUCUGGAAAAUAAAGAAAAGAAGAGUAAGAGAAAGGUGGAAAGAUAUAUGGAACAAACAGAUACGUGAAUUCUGUAUGGUAUAUAUGUAGGGAGGCGAAAGUAUAUAUACACAUACAUAUAAACACACAGAGACGUUGGGAAACAACAACAACAAGACUCGCCUAGAAAGACCUAGAAUAAAAAAAAAAAAAAAAAAAAAAACAAGGAAAAAGAGAAAAGAAAAACCCAGAAAACAAAAACAAACAAACAAACAGUGCCACGACCUCCCCGUAAUCCAUUCGCUUGUUUGUUGUUUCUCUCGGCCGCCGCCCCAGGAAGACCACAGUGUAUCCGUAGUCCUCUGUCGCGGAGUGAACAGUGUGCUUAUCCGGUGACGCUCAAGUUCCCGCCAACCGUCUACCUUUAAAGCUCAGGAGAUCCACAGCUGCCCAACCGCGCCACCUGUACAAAAUACUGCAGUGGUGCAGCCAUCUUGUGUAACAACAAACCUCAAGGAGACUUAGUGAACAAGCCUCAGUCUCUCUCCUUUUUUAUCCUGGAAAAUACCCGACGGAGUUCCUUUUCCCUCCACCGAGCCCCACGUGACCCCCUUGUCCUACAAUUUUGCUCUUUCCGUUCUCCUUUUCCCCUCUUCACUCCCCUCGACUCCCAGAACUACGGAAGAGCAUCGUACUCCCGGCAGCCUCCUGUCCACCUCACCUGUAUGAUCAUCAUCGUACAGCUGGUGUCCUCCGCUCAUCAGUGAGCACCGUUUCAAGCAGGGAUUUUCGUCCUCCUAUCAAAUAAGUACCUUCUGCAGAUUAUCCUGUUUCCUUUCUCUUAGGAGAAAGUGUCGUGUAGUAAGCAUCCACUUCCUCUCUGAAGAAGGAAUCGAACAGCCGGCAUCUUCUUCAGGGCAGAGAAAGCAUCGUACAACGGGCAUCCUCCUACCUCUAGAGAAAGCAUCAUACAGCGGGCAUUCUCUCCACCUCCUCUAGAGAAAGCAUCGUACAACCGACAUCCUCUUCCUCCUAGAGAGAGGGAAAAAUACCUUUCCAAUUGACAAAGCAUCGCACAGAGGAUAUCCAUUCCCCUUCUGGACAAAGGCGUUGUGCAGCAGAAAACCUCUCGUAACCCUUUACUCGCCCCCUACCCCCAUCAACCCGUCAACCCGAACAACCUCUUGAACAAAGCAUCGUACAGCGGGUAUCCUGUAUCUACUCCCGGCUGGCGAUCAUCGUACAGCGGGCACCCUCGUCCCUCCGAACAAGUUGUCGAACAUUUUGACUCGUUUUCCUCUCUCCAUUUCUCCUUCUCAACGGAUUUAUUUCGAGAAUGUACAAAUCUGAUCAACGACACCAGCCGAUGCGGUCUCUAGCUAGAAAGAAGAACAACUUCUCCUCGUAAGCGCCGCCAAGAACGAUCUUGAUGCUCAACUGAAGCACAAAUUUUAGUACUCAAAGUAGGUUAGAAUUUCAGCCGCCAUUUUCACUCUAUGUUUAUCCUGUACCUGAAGGGAAAUAAAUGAAUUUAAUGAAUAUAUAUAUAACAAAAUAAAAAAAAAAUAUUAAAAAAAAAAUGCUAACAGUCGGUGCUUGAAAUAACUUGACUGAUAAAGGCAAGAG